rnacentral:rRNA from 1 species
UAGGGAAUCUUCCACAAUGGACGCAAGUCUGAUGGAGCAACGCCGCGUGAGUGAAGAAGAUCUUCGGAUCGUAAAACUCUGUUGUUAGAGAAGAACACGAGUGAGAGUAACUGUUCAUUCGAUGACGGUAUCUAACCAGCAAGUCACGGCUAACUACGUGCUAG